rnacentral:tRNA from 1 species
GGUUGUAUAGUGUAGUGGUGAUCACUCCGGAUUUUGAUUGCAGAAUCUUCCGGCAACCCCGGUUCGAACCCGGGUACGACCU